CCUACGGGUGGCAGCAGUGGGGGAUAUUGCACAAUGGAGGAAACUCUGAUGCAGCGACGCCGCGUGAGGGAAGACGGUCUUCGGAUUGUAAACCUCUGUCAUCGGGGAAGAAAAUGAAGGUACCCAAAGAGGAAGCUCCGGCUAACUACGUGCAAGCAGCCGCGGUAUUACGGGGGGAGCGAGCGUUGGCCGGAAUUACGGGGUGAAAGGGUAGCGUAGGCGGGCGUGAAGGAUGAAUGUUAAACCUACCGGCUUAACUGGUAGCUGCGUUCAAAACUUCUUGUCUGGAGUGAAGGAGAGGCAGGCGGAAUUCCUAGUGUAGCGGUGAAAUGCGUAGAUAUUAGGAGGAACACCAGUGGCGAAGGCGGCCUGCUGGGCUUUAACUGACGCUGAGGCUCGAAAGCGUGGGGAGCAAACAGGAUUAGAUACCCUAGUAGUC
rnacentral:rRNA from 1 species